rnacentral:rRNA from 1 species
UAAAACGUUCGUAGUUGAACUUGUGUCAAGCACAGGUGGUACACCGUAACUGGGUUCGUACAUCAUCUUGAUGCUAUGACGUAUUACUGUAGUGGUUUAAGCGCAAGUUUAUCCACGUAAUAAAUCUAAAUUAGUGCUCUUUACCGAGUGCUGGUCUAGAACAGUACAAUUACUUUGAACAAAUUAGAGUGCUUAAAGCAGGCCAUUUGUGCCUAAAUAUUCUCUGCAUGGAAUAAUGGAAUAAGACGUCUGUUCUAUUUUGAAUUGGUUUUUAGAUCAAGACGUAAUGAUUAAUAGAAGCAGUUGGGGGCAUUAGUAUUACGGCGCGAGAGGUGAAAUUCGUGGACCGUCGUAAGACUAACAUAAGCGAAAGCAUUUGCCAAAGAUGUUUUCAUUAAUCAAGAACGAAAGUUAGAGGUUCGAAGGCGAUCAGAUACCGCCCUAGUUCUAACCAUAAACGAUGCCAGCUAGCAAUUGGAUGGAGCUACAUAUAUGGCUCUUUCAGUCGCUUUCCGGGAAACCAAAGCUUUUGGGCUCCGGGG